UGACAAGUUCACGCGUCGCAAACCUGUUACGUCCGGUCGGUACUGUAUUGUUCUUUCUAAACUUGCUUCCCUUUUACUUAUUUCGGCCAUUCAUUUCAUUCAAGCCGUGCUCCUGUAUACUAAUGAACUAGUAUCCUCAUUCGACAUUAAUAAUAUUUUAAAAUUUUAAAUAAUGGGCAUGUUUUUGAGUGUAGUUUCAGUGACAGUGUUGUGAGUGCUUUCAGCCUGGCGUCGGGAAAUUGGAUAACCUACCGGCGGUAUGAAAAUUUCGCUUCUCUUUCCGCUUCAGCUCUGAGAGGAGGCUCCGAUGUGCGAUUUGGCCAGGUAUUUAAUUUUCAAUAAACUUAAACUGCCGUGUCACAUGUAAAUCGU
rnacentral:lncRNA from 1 species